ACCUACUCUACCCGGCGUCUCAGGCCGAUGCCCUCGCGGCCCUCAGCCCGGCCCCUCGCGGGCCCCUGUCCCCUCAGAGCCCCGGCCGGCACCCCGCCUGGCACCCGGGCCGCAGGGACACGGCGUCUGUCUGCGCUCCCCCCUCCGAGUUAAUAUUAACCAGGAGCUCAUGCGUCCAGAACUGCUCUCAGAGUUCCACUGGGGACGAUCUCGCCACGGUUGAGGGGCUUGGGCGGCAGGCACAUUAGAGAGACAGACGCACGGAGGCUCGGAGGGACAGGGGAGGAAGGGCACGCACCUGAGCGCAGAAUCCAGGUGGUGAUCUAAGUGAGGGGCCAGCGGGCGCGCGGGUUCCCCGAGGAGGAGCCCUAACCUCCUCGGCCGGGAGGCGGGCUGUUUCACCCCUUCACCCCAGCCUUGCCCCUCACCACCCACGUCCUCCGCCUUUCACCCUGCCCCGCCUCCCCCCCCCCCACUCGUGGAGUCAGAGCAAAAGGUAGGGCGGGAAGGGAUAAACCAAGGGCACCUUCCAUGCUGCUCCCCAGCCACCCACGAUUUUGGGGGGACAUUUGUGGUGUCCAUGGUGCGAUUCGGGCCUGCCUCUUCCCACCCAGCUGGAUGGUGACUGCCCCUCCCCCGUCCUUUUGUGCAGGGACCGGGAAAAGCCACUGCCCAAGGAAAAAAGUAUUUGUUUUCGUUUCUCCGUCUGAGGGAAGUUGACAGAAGGUCAGAAGUUCAAAUGCUGCCAGCGCACGCGGCGGCGAGAGUGAGGGGGCGCUGGGCCGUGGGCCCCCAGAGGGCGCCCAGGCCCGGGAGGCGGCGGCCCCGGCACCUGCCUUCCCGCCCACGCGCGGGCGGUCGGGGCCGUCGGGCCCGGCUUUGAGCGGAGACCCGGCGGCGCAGGGCGCGGAGGGGCCGCAGCCCGCCCGGUGCGCUGAAACCCGAGCCGCGGGAUCGAUCUGCCCGCAGGUCUUCUCGGCCACGUUGGGGAUGAAUUGCUUGUAGGCUAAAGGGGUCAGCUUUUUGGGGUGCCGCCUCUUCCCAAACCCCCUGCCCGGUCCGCACGCCAGCCCGGAGCACAUCAGCAGCGCGGAGACCAGCAGCGCCAGCAGACAUCUCGCCAGCAGCAGCAUCUCGUCCACGGAACCCAGUGACUUCCAAGCCGUCCCCGUGCAGGAAGGACCAUCAUCAUGGAGCCGACAAACACUUGUUGAUGUUGAGCAGGGAGACAGCGGGCUCAUCAGGGGCAGCUUCUCACGGAAGUGCAGUUGUGGCUCAUCUUCGCCUGGCACCUCUCGGAAACCUCCACCCGCCAUCCACGAGGAACCGAAGCCGGGCACCUGUUUACCGAGCAGAGGGCGUGGGCCCUUCUUAUCUAGUCACCUGUCAGAGGCCCCGCGGCCGCUUGAUGCCAGCAGCAUUGAUCUUAUUACUCAUACUUUAUACAUGAGAAUGCUAUUCUUAAAGAAGGCAAACAUUUGCUUUGCUGAGCCAUUGUCUCGCCCCGCAUAAACCUCUCACUCUUGAUGUAUGUCCAUCGAUUGCGGUUCUCGCCACUGUUUCACACAAGAGGCCUGCGGGUGAUGACUUGCAGGGUUACCUGUGACGGGCCCUAAACCCAUUUACAAUUAAGGAAAAGUUAAGUGCAAACUUCAGCUUGAAAAUGACUCAGAUUUUGCGUGAUGCUAAGGUGGAGGGCGCAGCCCCGCCCUCCCACAUGGUUUCCGGGGGCGGCCCACCGCACUGGCUGGAAGGCUCUGGGUCUCUAGGGUCUGGGCUUGGAUGGCUUGGUCUUAUCCAUCAUCUGAACAGGGUCCCACCUCAGGGCUCACAGAUGGUCCCUCCUGAGCCCCAGGGACAGGGUUCCCGCCUGCAAUGGAGCCCAUCGUCACUGCUCACGGCCCCUCCCCAGCCCUGCCCCCAGGACCAGAUGUCCUCAUGUCCUGACCACCUGCACUCGGACCUGUUCCCCGGACCCGGCUCCCGAGACCCCUGCACACUCUUCCCCAGCCGCCGGCACGGUUCACCCUGUGCAGAGCCUGGGGCGGGCCUGGGGAAAGGGUUCACUCGGGGGUGGUCCGAGGAAUCAGGAGAGAGGAGGAGGAUGUGAGACCGGGCAAGGGAGAGCAGGUGUCGCUGGGGUUCGACGGUAGCCACAGGCUCCUCUUGAGGACAGACAGGACUCCCAGUCGCCCUCAGCCCGAGGCACAUGCCCACAGUUGCCUCCCUGUGUGCUGGGAACGCCCCUCACUGGCCGUGUGAAGCGGGGGACACCCAGACUGCUGGGGAGGCCGAGAGGCCAGAUCUGCCUCCUGCUCUCCCGUCCGCAGCGUCUCUGGAGCUGCCGGCCGGAUCUGCCCAGCUCUGCUCCCACAGGCCCGCCUCACCCCCAGGCGCAUGCUAGUGCACUCACUGCAGCCCCGGCCUGGGGUGCUCGUAGGAGAUGGUGAUGAUUUUUACAAGUUGCCAGUCCUUGUGGGCUUCUCCCUCCUGCUGAAGGGACAGUGGUGACAACAAAGGAACGAACCCACACCUGAUGGAUCCCAAGGGGGUGACAGCACGGAAGAUGUUUCCACAAAUCCCGCAAGAUGAAGGUGGCCAGAGCCACCCUGCGGGGUGCUGGCAUGCGGCCACCUCCGUCCCCAGUGGAGCGGGUUGAGUGGCCAGGCAGACUGCGGAGACAGAUAGCUACCGUGUCUGUGUGUCCAGGGCUCUCAGGACUCUGCCCCUCGCCUGUCCCCACCCCCACCCAGCACUAUCCCAGCUCCCGCCAGCAGCGGGAACAGGCAUCUGUAAUGACACGGCUGCUGGUGGAAAUUCGGAAGAAUGCCUUUUUCAUGCUGGAGAGUCACCUCACUGCCAGGGGACCCUGGCGGGGGACCCAUGAAUAAGUCAAUGGGACCAGACCACUUGUCUGAAGGAACAAUCUCCAUGCAGCCAUAAUCAUGGAAAUGCACUCAAUGUUUUAAAAACAUUUAUUUAUCUUAUUGAAUGGAAUAAAGCCCAGAAUACUUCAUGUUGGUGUCAAGAUUGAAUGCUGAUGCUAGCCUUCCUGACAGUGUAAAAAUCUCUCUCUAUAAAAGGCUAAUAUGCUAAGUGUCUGUCCGGGUAAUGACGUCACAUAGCAACGCCCGGCUUCCUCUCCCUAGCGACUAGCCUCCUUGGAGUUUCUUCAGUCCAGGAACAUGACUUGCUUUAUAGCCAGGUAGAAACAUUUUACACUUUAACCAAAUGUCUGUGAAGCAUUUUCCCGAGCCUCAUCUCACUUGAUCCUCACAGAAGUCCUGGAGUAGGUAGAUAGGAGACUCCUCAGUGGAAUCCUAUUUUCUUUUCAUUAGCCAGCAAAUGGAGCUUUAGAAAGCUUAGAAACUUGACCUGACUGAAAAGAAGUAAGAAAUGGUGGACCUUGAAAAUGACUUCAGGUUUUCUCACUGCACAGAAUAUAGUCAAACACGGCUGCAGUUAAAUAGUUUACCCUUUGUUCUCCCUGUGUGAUCUACAAUAAUAAUCUGCCUCGUGUUGAUAUUUACUGCUGUGUUGCUGACAAUUACCUGAAUGAGAAGUUGGGGUGCUUCACUGAGCUGGAAAAAGUUCAGUUAAAUCAGAAAGCAGGUCUAAUAAGCAAGUUUAUUCUAUAUGUGUAAAAGGGUAAGUUGACUCGCGCAUGUGUGAUACAUAUAAAGCUCUCGCCGGCGCCAAUCGCAC